AAAAGAAUAAAAUUCUACGCAGCGGAAAUAAAAACAAAAGACUAAACAGCUAUGGCGACUCCACUCCACAAGCAUCUUGACCCGAACAAAGUCUAAUCCUCUUGAGCAUCACCUUCAUUGAAAUACUCCUCCUCUGAUGAAUGAAUAUUGCAGGAAUGAGCAUAUGACAUACUCAACAAGCCACAGAUCAAAUAUGCAAAUGCACAUGAUAACAAAGGAUGGCAUAAUAUAGCUUAUUUGCAUAAACAACAUUUAAUAAACAUUUGAGAGAAUAGUAAAGCAGUUGUAUAAAUUAAUCAAUAUUAAAUAAACACUAUACAACACACCCAUGUUACAUAGGCCCAACCAUCUGAACAACCAACCCCGGUUGUACAAAUCAAACCUCCAUACCAAGAAUAUAUCAUUCCAAACCAGGAGUCAAAUUAAUUAUCACGGUUUAACACCAAUAAUGAGUAGUGUGAGACUAUUCACGAAAAAUAUUGUUAGACCCGCCCAUAACCGCGGGCACGGCUAUUCGAAUAGUUUUACUCUGGCCAGAGAUGUACCACUGUACCCACAAGACACAGCUCCACGACAUGUCAUCAUGCGCCUCAAUACCACCACGGUACCUCGGAAAGGAACUGUGACAAUACCCCUCGCACAACACAACUCACCACAAUGCACCAUUCCUAGAUCAUAAUCACCCCCUCUACAACUAGAGGCAUGGACUCCCUAGCGACCCCCAUGGACUUCUCGCCGCUUCUCAGUCUAGCACCCCGUAACGAACCAUGCUAUACAAAAGGUAAAGCCAUUGCCCACGCUGGCUUGUGGUUGGCACGGUUAAUGUUUCACAACAGUAGCUUGCGAACCGGUCCUUAAUUGUCAUGAGCACGACCAUCAAAACCCUGUACUCACAACCCACCAUUAAUCAAUUUUUAGUUAAGAAUUGAUUAUCAUAACACGAUUAACCAUCGUGAGCUACCAUUAAAUAUAACCAUAAGUAAUAAUGUAGUGUGAUUCAUCCCAUUAAUGAGCUAAUGUUUCUAAGCAUGUCUAAGCAAUUAUAUAUAUAGCAUUUAAUUGAACCAAACCAAUAUAUAAGGUUCAAGCCAAUCAAUUUAUUACCCAUAGGAAAAUAAAGUCAUCUUCGGCCAUUAAUUAAUUGGGAAAGGCUCACCACCCGAUGACAUUCGAAAAUAAUGCAUAAGUUGAAAUAAAACAUUAGCUUUAAACGGGUUCAACAUCCUUAAAGGGUUGUUUGGAAUUUGUGUGACUUGCCUUGAUCUUCUUCAAAUGCUUCUGAACCUUCCUCAACGUAAACGCUCUCCUCCGGAACGUCGGAAACUAAAGCAAAUGAAUAAAAUCAACAAAACAGUAAAAAAAAAAGCAUAAAAAGUAUAUGUGGGUAUUUUUAACAUGUAGAUCUCGAUUUUAGAUGAAUUUAGCAACUUGAACCACUUUAAUCGGAGUUACGAUGAUUUAGUUAUGAAUUUCCGAAGUUUAAUCAGUUUUCAUCUAAUACAGAAAAUUAUUACGAUUUAAAAGGGAAUUAUGAUGUCAUCGACGACAUCAUCGCAGCCAUGGCACUGGACAACAACUCCGCCGGCGAUAGAGAGCUCGGGCGGCUAAACCGAAGGCACCUACACGAAGAGUAUGACGAGGCGAACUCACCGGUGCAAAGAACUACGACAGACGACAACGAACGAAGGCCGACGACGAGCUCCGACGGCGGCACGGCUCGGCUCGAUGUCAGCGGCGGC
rnacentral:lncRNA from 1 species